GACAUGGCUCGGUUGUUUUUAGCCGCCAAGAAACAACAGCGCCGACGAGUCAGAACAGCCGUGAAACACUGUCACAACGGAAGGAUUUCGCCGGAGGGAGAGGAGGAUGUCAAGAUGGUAUCGGCGGGAUCUAAGCUGAUGAGUUUAGAAGACAUUGAUGAGUUUUCUGCGGCGGAGUUUAUGCAUAGAAUCUCGAUUUCGAAGUCUAAGAAACCGAAGCUGGAAACCAUAGCUGAAGAAGAAUCUCUCUUAAGCGGACUUGAAAUCAAACAAUUAUUGGAACUUGAUUUUUUCAACGCUUUUUUUAAUUUUAGUUAUUGUUCUUGUUUGUAGUGUUAUUGAGAAUGAGCAUGUAAUGAUAAAGUUCUUUAAUUUUAUGUAAAUGUAAAUUAGUAAUCUUAAGCUCUUAACCAUUAUUUUUAUAGUAUUUGUUUUUCAUCAGUAUUUAAUUAAUAAUUUAAUGAAUGCUAAAAUCAAAAUUACACCAUCUUUUAUUUUUUUUCUUAAAACAACUAUUAAAAUGAUUUAAAAGUUGUAGUAUAUAGGUAUUUAUACAGAAAAAAACAUACAGUUACAAUAAUAAAAUCUACAGACUAAAUGAAUCCUACAACAAAAUUCUAUGUAAGUUACAUCAUGUGAAGGUAAUGAUCUGGUGAUGAGAAUUUUGCUGACAAGUCUGUGGAAGAGAAGGCUUCACUAAAUCUGACUUGUAGUAAGGAGACUCUGGAAGAGCUUAGGAUUCGUUUGCACAAAUGGGUCACACAAGAAACAAACAGAUAUGAGUAAAGGGACAUGGAGAAACGUAGUCAAAAUAGUUGAUAAUUUCCAUGAACACGAGACUGUAACUCUACGAGCAAGUCUCUUCGAAACUGGAGUUUUCUACACUGCUAAGCUACUUUCUACAAUUUCAAAAGCAACUGAUUCUACUACUACUGUAAAUACUAUAUAUCGUGGUGCUAAUGCUAUAAGUAAUUAGACAUUCCUUAGUAAAAUAAAAUUUAUCAAACAAGGUUAUAGAAACGUGACGGAGAAUUGUAGAGAGAAUAUGAUCAUGCUAAGGAAUGGACUUGAGAAGACAGAAACGUUCAACAUCGUAUCAAAGAACGAGGGAGUGCCGCUUGUCGCUUUCUCCUUGAAAGAUAGCAGCUCUCACACUGAGUUCGAAAUCUCCGACAUGUUCGCAGGUUAGUUUUUAUUUGAGACAGAAACUCUAUGAAAUAUUCUAAAGACAGGUGUCAUUUGAUAAACAAUAAUUCCUUAAAAUAAUUAUAUAAGUGAAUGAAAAUAUAUAAAAAAAUUUGUAAUUAUUUUUUGAAAAGUUUAGCAAUGGAGAUGCUCUAAUAUCUCAAAUACUCUUUCACAUUUCGAAAGGUUUCACUUUGAUAUGAUUCAUGCACUUGAGAGUAAAUACAUAAGUUAGACGUUAAUUGAUACUUCAAAGAUUCAUAAAAAUAAGUAACUAGAUUUGUGUUUGAAUAUGAUGUAUCGAAAACUUGUCUGUUUAUAUAUUGAAAUGUAGGUACGGAUGGAUAGUACCGGCGUAUACAAUGCCUCCUAACGCACAACACAUAACAGUUCUUCUAGUGGUCAUCAGAGAAGAUUUUUCAAGAACACUCGCUGAGAGAUUUGUAAUCGAUAUUGAGAAAGUGAUGCGUGAGCUCGAUGAGCUUCCUUCACGAGUAAUCCAUAAAAUUUCGCUAGGCACUACAAGAAAACAUCGGUAUUCUGACGGACAUUCCGAUGGAAAAUGAAAUCCUCAGAAUUUCCUGAGGAAUUUCCGAGGAAAUUCCGAGGAAGCCCAAAUUUUGGGUUUCCUCGGAAUUUCCUCGGAAUAUACCGACGGAAUUCCGAGGAAACAUUAAUCCGUCGGUAUAUUCCGAGGAAAUUCCGAGGAGAAAUGUGUUCCUCACAAAAUUCCGAGGAAAUUUCGACGAACAAGUGACCGAUCGAUGCGUUUUUGGACAUAUACCCAUCGAUCGAUCACAUUGUUACGCUUUGGUCUAUCUUAGUGAUCGAUCGAUGCGUUUUUGGACAUAAAUCCAUCGAUCGAUGCGUUUAUAAAAAAACAUUCGAGAUUUUGAAACCCAAAACUGUAGUUCCUCGGAAUUUCCUCGGAAUAUUCCGAGGAAAUUCCGAGGAACACUUGAUAUCCUAGAUCGAUCGAUGGGAUAAUCUCAUCGAUCGAUCACAUUGUUACGCUUUGGUCCAUCUUAGUGAUCGAUCGAUGCGUUUUUGGACAUAUAUCCAUCGAUCGAUCCGUUUUAAAAAAAAAAUUGACGUUUUGAAACCCCAAACACUAGUUCCUCGGAAUUUCCUCGGAAUAUUCCGACGGAAUUCCGAGGAAGAAAAGGGUUUCCUCGGAAUUCCCUCGGAAUAUUCCGAGGAAAUUCCGAGGAAAUAGGGUUUUUAAACCGAAAACAACGUUUUGCGGUUUGAAUAACACCUAUAUAACCCUUAUUAAGUGUCUUACGUUCAUUAUGAAGUCAAAAAUUUGUUCCUUACCCUAUAAUAAACACUUUUCCGAUUGUAUGAACGAAAUCCCUACAACAUAAGAGAAACACUUAUACACUUUAAUGAACGGUAAAUGGAAUACUUACAAUUCGUUUUGAAAUUUGUUAUUUCAUGGUUUAUGCUCAUCUAUACAAAGAAUCCUCAAUGGUAUGCAUUACAAUUGUAUAAGAAAUGAAAUACGGCAAAAAAAAUUGAUGUUUUGAAACCCCAAACACUAGUUCCUCGGUAUUUCCUCGGAAUAUUCCGAGGAAAUUCCGAGGAACAAUAUAAAUUAAUAGAAAUAUAUGCACAGGAUAUUCUUUUUCCUCGAAUUAAUGAAAAUAUUCUGAGGAAAUUCCGACGGAUAUUUAAGUGGCCGUCGGAAUUUUAUCGGAAUAUUUUCAUUUAACCGGGUAAACAAGCCGCCAAAUAUUUCGCGAAAAUUGAAAUUGAAAAUACUGAGGGAAUUCCGACGGAAAAUAUCCGUCAGACCGAAGGUUUUAUAAACUCGAACCGUAUCUUCUUCCCCAUUUCUCCCUUCUUCCUCUCCGGCGAUCUCUCUCUCCUUCCGGCGUUCUCCACCUUCUCUCGCGACGAUCUCUCCGGCGAAUCCUUUCCAUUCCCUUACAAAUCAUGUAAGGACCCUAUCCCACUCUCUUAGGUCCUAUUUGUUAGGUUUUUAAGUAGAUUUGAUGAUUUUAGAAGUUUUUUGAUAGAUUUUUGUUAGGGUGAUUGGGUAGGAUUGUGAUUUGUUGUGUAAUAGGUUUAGAAUUGUGAUUUGGUUGUGUUGAAUUGAUUUAGAACUUGUUUUAUAAAUUGUUUAUUAUUUUUGUAUUUACAAAAAGUUUUUUCUAUAUAAAUUCGAUUUUACAAAACGUUUUUGUAUAUAAAUUCGAUUUUUGGAUUUAUAAAAGAUGAUUUCAUAUUUAUAAAAAUAUUUAUAUUUAUUAAAACUAAUUUUGUAUUUAUAAAACAUUUUUUUUAUUUAUAAACACUAUUUUUUUUAUUUUUGUAUUUAUAAAAACUAUUUUUAAAUAUACAAAACAUUCUUUGUAUAUAAAUUCGAUUUUUGGAUUUAUAAAAGAUGAUUUCAUAUUUUAAAAUUAAUUUUGUAUUUAUAAAACAUUUUUUGAUUUAUAAACACUAUUUUAUUAUUUUUUGUAUUUAUAAGAACUAUUUUGUAUUUAUAAAAAGAUGAUUUCAUAUCUAUAAAAAUAUUUAUAUUUAUUAAAACUAAUUUUGUAUUUAUAAAAUAUUUUUUUGAUUUAUAAACACUAUUUUAUUAUUUUUUGUAUUUAUAAAAAGAUGAUUUCAUAUUUAUAAAAAUAUUUAUAUUUAUUAAAACUAAUUUUGUAUUUAUAAAACAUUUUUUUGAUUUAUAAACACUAUUUUAUUAUUUUUUGUAUUUAUAAAAAGAUGAUUUCAUAUUUAUAAAAAUAUUUAUAUUUAUUAAAACUAAUUUUGUAUUUAUAAAACAUUUUUUUUUAUUUAUAAAAACUAUUUUAUUAUUUUUGUAUUUUAAAUAUGUUUUCUAUUUCAAUUUUAAUUUUAUAUUUUUGAAUUUCAAUUUAAAAAAAUAAAUUUAUAAUUUUUUUUUUUAUUUUGGAAAUAUUCCGAGGAAGUGUAUCCCUCGGAAUAUUCCGACGACAUCUUCCUCGGAAUAUUCCGAGGAAUUUCCGACGAAAAAAGUCCUCAGAAUAUUCCGAGGAAAUUCAUUUCCUCGGAAUUCCGUCGGAAAUUUCCGAGGAAUUUCCGAGGAAAGAUGAAUUUCCGAGGAGUUAUUUCCGAUGACUUUUUUCGUCGGUAUGUCGUUGGAAUAGCGUUAUUCCGACGACAUACCGACGAUUUUUUUCCUCAGUAUGCCGCUGUUUUCUUGUAGUGAGGAGAGGAGAAGAGUGAAGCUGACGGCGAUAACUUGAUGGUGACGGUGAAGAAAAGCGAUAUGGAGAAGCAGAGAAAGAUCAUCAAUGGCUGGAAGAAGUUUGUUUCCGACAGGAAGACGACAAAUGGUAUCUGUUAACUAAGUAAUAUAUGAUGAAAAUGUUUGGACUGCUUUAUCAAUAAUGCAUUUGCAUUAAUUCGGAAAUUGAAGGUUUUUUACUUUGUUGUUGUUGAACAAUUAAAGUUUCGUUUGAUUAAUACUUGAAUAUAUUUUGAUAUUAUUGCGACAUUUUGAAUAAAGUUUCUGUGUUUUUGUUAUUAGUUUGUCAUCCAUUACAAAUAGGAUUGGUGAGUCUAGUAAAUGCAUAAUAUUUGGCUUAUAAUAGACUUGCUAAUUAUCUUCAAAUAAAAACAGUCUUAUUAUAAUUGAACUUUUAUAAUGUGCAACAAUAAUCAAACGAAAAGUUACACAAUGAAGUAGUAAACUUUUUUGAUCGAGAAAUGAGAUUUAUUUAUGAUAUUUUUCAAAUAAACUCUAAGCCGGAGAAGGAGCAGUAGCAUCGUGGCUAGAGCAAUGUUUCUUAACAUAGUUGUUAACGAAAGGGUUACGGAACGAUCUGAAAACCGUAUGUUUACAAUUUUCAUUCAAUGUUUUGAUCAUGGCGCAACAUUCAGAAUCAACGGUUGGUUUUCCGGUUAACGUCUUCAUCAAACAUUUUGUUACCAUCUUGUAACUGGAAAAGCAUUCCUUCAAUUCCUGAUUUGGGCUGUGUUUGUGGAUAGCGGAGGGUGCCUGAGAGUGACCCGACCAUUGGAGCUCUUCGACAUCUGUUGGGCCUGAUUUGGGCUGUGUUUGUUAAUAGCCGAGGGCGCGUGAGCGUAACCCGACCAUUGGAGCUCUUCGCCAUCUGUUAGGUCAAGAAAUUGAGAUGUGACACAGCUUGAAAAAAGAACCAUAGCAACAAAAAUUGUGAGAUUCUUCAUUUUCUUUUGAUUACUUGUCGGUGUGAAAUUGAGAAAAAGUGAAUAUGCUUUUAGUUUUGGAUGACUUUAAAAUGAAACUACGUCAGUGUUUAUAUAGAAGUUUACAAUGAAUACUUUUAUAGCACAUACAAACAAAACAUAGAAAAGAAUCAUGACCAGUUAUGUAAGAAAUUGUUAUUAUUCAAUUAAGGACAUAAAUCUAUAAAAUUUGCAUGUUGUUAACCCAAAAAAUUGUAUAAUAUCUUAAUGACCAAAAAUAUGGUAUAAAAUAUUUAUCUAUUAAUAUUAUUAUUUGAUAAGUGAAUUUGUUUACUUGUCAUCUUCUCCAUGAUUUUAGGUUAAAUCAAUAGUUUUAAUAAACAAUUUUAAUUAGACUAAUUAAAUAUCUUUAAUUUCAUUUAUAUUUGUAUGUUAAUAUGAUUUUUUCGUGGUAUUUUCAUUUCAUUUUUAUUUUUCUUUGUACUUUCAUUUUUAUUUGUAUUAUUGUUCUUAUGGUUUUCGUGGUAUUUUAAUUUUUUUUCUUAAUAUUCAGUUAAUAGAAUAAAAUUUAUUUGUUAUUUAAUUUAAAAUUUUUUAUAUUAUUUUAUAUUGGGAAUUAAAUUAUAUUUUUUAAAUAUUUUCAAAAUACCAGUAUCCAAAAGAGAAUAUUUUCAAAAAAAAAAAUUUGAUUUACAACAAGUACCUUAUACAGUAUUUAUAAACAUUAAAAUUAACUUUAUUUAAUUUUAAUGUUUUCAAGAGUUUCACAGAAUUAUAACGUUGUUUAAUUUAAAAUGUAAAGAAAAAUGUGAUUCUCUUUUUUUAUAAACUGCAUUUUCUAAAAUGAUUUUUAUUAGUUAUAAUAUUAAAGUUUGAAAGUUAAAAGAUUAUUUAAUAAUAACAAAUUAUGAUUUUGUAAUAAAGAAAUACUAUUUUAUAGGAAAAUAUCAAUCUCUAUUUUAAAGUAAAAAUAUAGAUUUACUAUAGCUUAUUUUCUCAAUUAUAACAUUUAGAAAUGAAAAUAACAAUAAAUAUAAAAUGUUCUUAUCUUAUGCAUUAUAUAUUAAUGUUUUGUUUGUCAAUAUGAUUGGUCUGUUUGAGUGUUUAUACAAUUAUUAUGGAGGUAUGUUACAGUAUAAUUAUAUAUAUAUAUACCAAUAAUUUUAUUUACUCUGAUUAAUAUAUAUAAUAUAUAAAAUUGGGUUUGGUUUAACAUUCUUAUGCUUUUGAUUUAUUUGAAAUUUUUUGGUUUUGAUAAUUCCAAAAAUUUGGUUUAAUAACAUCACUUAAUAUUAAAAGUUGUAUUUUUUUUAUUUAAUUAAGAAAAAAAUUGAGAAUGACGCUUGGAAGAUGCACAAAGUUUUAUAAAUUAAUAUAAUAAAAACUGGUUAAAGAUAACAACAUAUUUUAAAAUAAAAAAUAUUAAUGUUGUCAUCCAAAAUAAUGUCUUUAAAUCAAUAAACGGUAAAAAUUAAGAAAUUGAAAGAUUCAUAAAAUAGUAUAAAUUUAAUAUUUUAUUUAAGUUUUUUGAUCUUUAAACUAAUAGUACACGGUGGCUGACCUAGCAUCAUAUGUAGUUGGAAGCACAAUACUAAAAAAAAAAACAAAAACAAAAAUAUUACGGACUGGGGGAACUUUUUUUUGUUUAUUCAGUAAACUAAAAACAAUAUAAUCAAAUUAGAACUUAUAUUUGGACUGCUAUCAAUAAUGCAUCUGCACUAAUUCGGAGAUUUGAAGGUUUUCACUUUAUUGUUGUUGAACAAUUUGAUUAGUACUUGUAAUAUUUUUUGAUAUUAUUGCGACAUUUUGAAUAAAGUUUCUGUGUUUUUGUUAUUAGUUUUUCAUCCAUUACAAAUAUGAUUAAUGAGUCUAGUAAAUGCAUAAUAUUUGGCUUAUAAUAGUGUUGCUAAUUAUCUUCAAAUAAAAAAACUAAUUAUAAUUGAACUUGUAUCAUCAUUUAUAAUGUGCAAUAAUAAGCCAAAAAAAAAAUGUUACACAAUCUAGUAGUAAUUAACUCUUGAUCGAUACAUAGAUUUAUUUAUUAUAAUAAUUUUGUAAUUAAACUUUGUAUCAUCGCUUUAUAAUGUGCAAAAAUAAGCAAAAAAAAGUUACACAAUACAAGAGAUUUAUUUAUAAUAUAUUUUUUAGAUGAACUCUAAGCCGGAGCAGGAGCACUGUAGCUAGAGCAAUGUUUCUCGACAUAGUUGUUAACAAAAGGGUUACGGAAGGUUUUGAAAACCGUAUGCUUACAAUUUUCAUUCAACGUCUUGAUCGUGGCGCAACAUUCAGAACCAACUGUUGGGUUUUUGGAUAACGUCUUCAUCAAACAUUUUGUUACCAUCUUGUAACUGGAAAAACACUCCUUUAAUUCCCGAUGUGGGCUGUGUUUGUGGGUAGCCGAGGGCGCCUGAGAGUAACCCGACCAUUGGAGCUCUUCGUCAUCUGUUGGGUCGCGGAAUUGAGAUGUGACACAGCUUGAAAAAAGAAUUAUAGCAACAAAAAGUGUGAGAUUCUUCAUUUUCUUUGGAUUCUUUGUCGAUGUGAAAUUGAGAAAAAAUGAAUAUGCUUUUAGUUUUGGAUGGCUUUAAGAUGAAACUAUGUCAGGGAUUAUAUAGAUGUUUACAGUGAAUACUUUAUAGCAUAUUCAAACAAAACAUAGAAAGAAUCAUGACUAGUUAUGUAAGAUAUUGUUUAUAUUCGUUUAAGGACAUAAAUCUAAAAUAUCUGACUAGUCAUGUUGUUAACCCAAAAAGAUUGUAUAAUAUCUUAAUGUUGACCAAAAACAUGGUAUGAUAUCAUAAUAAUAUUCUAUGGUCACCUUAUAAAGUGGAAAAACAUCAAAUUAACAUUGCCUAUUAGAAUAUUCUCAUUUACACAACGUUAUCCCAAAAAAAAAAAAAAAAAUUAGGAUAAGGUUCAGAAAUUAAAUCUAAAAAGAUAACUACAAACACAUGACAUAAACCCCUUGGACCAUGAUUAUCCGUAUAACUGGUUUUUGAAUUUCUUAUUAUUUAUUUAUUUUUUAAAAAAAAAAUUAAAAAGGAAAUCAAUUGUGGGCCGCCACAUGUCAGUGGGACCCGCACAAGGAUCAUGACAAAAGCGAUCCUUAUUUCAUCUUCUUUGUUACCGAUUUUUACUCAAAAUAUGAGGCUCAUCACUUUAAAAACCCUCUUGUUACUCCUGAUAAUUGUAUGCGCAACGGUGAGACUCAUUGGAGUCCUUAGCGACAAGGGCAUUUCAGAUUAAUCUUGGAUAUUUUGAAUUUAAAAAAAAAAAUGAUCAUUCACGGGCCGCCACGUAGUCAAUGGGGCCCGUGAACAGUGUAACGAUCAAUCCUUACCAAAGAAUUUUAAACACUAUUUUUUGCACAAAUUCUAAGAAAAUACGCUCCACACUCGCUAAAGAAUCCUUCAAGAGCUCCCAUUGUGAAUGUUCUUAGAGCAUCUCCAAUAGGAGGUUCUACUCAUUAGAGUUCUAAACAUUUAUAUACAUACACACAUAUAAAUGUUUAGAACUCUAAUGGGUAGAACCUCCUAUUGGAGAUGCUCUUAUACUAAGGGACUCAUAAUACAAGGACAUAUAUGGGGUCAGCCUUCCUAUUCUGUUCACAUACGCACAAAGUUUUUAGUUUGGUUAGUGUCAAUCGAAUAUGUUUAUGUUGACCAAAAAAACAGAGUCAUCAUUAAUUCAAAAUAAUCUUCAAUUAAAAUCACGAUGUAAUUUAUAUUAUAUUUGUUCUGUAUAGAAUAAAAACUGACAUGCCCCUCGAGGGGUGUAAACUCGGUUACGAAUUAAGUUUUAUGAAGUUUGGUUUGAUCAAAAAAAAAAAAAAAAAAAACUGACAUUAUAUGGUUGAAUGACAUUAUUUUGGUUGAAUUUAGUUUUUACUAGAAGGGUGUCCGCGCUUCGCGCGGAAUAUUAUUUUAUUGCUGUUAGAUAUGAUUUUUUGGAUGAUGUAAUUAAGUGGUCUUUCUUAUUUGUAAAGAGAAUUAUUUGAUGUUUUAUUGUGUUAUGUAGUAUUAGGUAAUAUGUUAAUAUAUUAUGUGUUUGUUUUUCAAUAAUGCGUUGUUGUGUGUAUAAUAGUAAUUGUGUGGUGAAGUGAGCUUUUAAUGUAAAUUAUAUUGAAUUUUAAUAACUUUGCAUUUAGGCAUUUGUUAAUUUUAAGAUUGAUGGUUUUAGCGUCAGAAUUGUAUUUUAAUUUGUCACAUUUUUGAACAUUACUCUUUUAAAAUGUUUUUUGCUCACUCUCCAUAUUUUGACCCUGAGUCGUCCUCAUCUAUGUAAUUCGCUUACCUUUCCGGUGUGCGGUGCUUCUCGCCAUCACUGAGAAAAGACUCACCUUUGUGUUCUUGUUUUUCCUCACAUUCAUCUCUUGUGAUAUUAUCUGGUAUUUGUUAUAGAUCAUGCUUACAAAUUCGCAAUUGUGCGGUUGUUUUUCACUGUGUUGUAGGUUGUUUUGGUCAAUAUUGGUCCUCUUCUUUUUUAGAUUUUGACUAAUUUUAGGAACUAUAUCUUGUUGGGUUGGGUCAGAGUUCAGUUGUCUUUGAUGUUGUCUUCCUCUCGUUGACUUGCCGUCGAUAGUCUCUGCUCGUCUUGGUUUUCAAGAUCUGGUUUUUGGUGAUCUGACUUCUAUGCUCUUUAUCAUAUCUCGAGGAUGGCUCCAUGGUUUGAUGAUUUUGUUUCGUCUCCUUUUCUAUCUUUGUUCUCUCAUCUUGUUGCACCUUUCAUUGCUGCUCGCUUCUCUGGUGGCUCUUUUUCGCCAUAUUUGCUACUCCAGGUUUGGAUAGUGUUUUCUUCUGUGUAUGCUUUAUGUGCUUGGAAGGUUAUUUCUAGUCUAAAGUUUGAGCUCUUGUUUUUUGGUGGUAGACUUCCAUUCUCCCUCCCUCAGGUUGUUUCUUUUCUUCUCUUACUUUCCUUGGUGUAGGUGUGCGGAGUUAGUCUUUGGAGCUUUGGUCUCUUCUACUUAGAGCUUUGUGGUUCUUCGCUGGCAUAAACGUCUUGUAUGUGCUUGUUUAGUUUAUGAGGUGUUUCUUACCUUUUAGCUGGUGGUUGUGAUUCCGGUGCUUGUGGCAUGUGUCUUCUUGUUUCGUGGUGACUUUGGUCUCCUGAUGAUUAUUCUUUCUCUGACCUUUUUGGUUUUUUGGGUUUUUUGGGUUGGUGCUUGAUCACGCUCCUUUGAGCUCGGAGGAAUGUUUUGUCUUAUAUUUUACUCCCUCUGUUCCAAAAUAGAUGAUGUUUUAGAAAAGUUAUGAUGUUUCAAAAUAGAUGAUGUUUUGAUAUUUUAUAUUAAUUUAAAUUUUAUUGAAAACUGUGUGACCACUGAUGUUUUAUAUUUAUUUUUAAGGAUUGGAUGAAUUAAUUUUGAUUUAUAUUUUUAAUGUUUCUUUUAGAAAAAAGUGUAUACCUUAAUUCUUGUUCAUACACUCAAAACAUCAAAUAUUUUGGAACAGAAUGAAUAUCCUUUUAUCUUUUCUAACAUCUGCUUGUUCUAUCCAUGAUAUUAUUGGUAAGAUGAGGUAAGUUAGUUUUCUUUGUUGAUCUUUUUCCGGCUCCAAACUUUUAUUGAGUUAGUGUUACUAUAGUAUAAUUGGUUUUUUUCUUUUGGUUGUGGAAGUUGUAGGUUUAGAUUAUGUGUUGUAUUCUAGUUUUUUCUUAUUAGUUUGGUUAUUUGUGGAAGUUGUAGGGCAGUUCUGAGCGAAGUGACCUAUCUUAUCACAUCGGUAACACUCAACCUUUGAUGUGUCUCUCUCUUGCCUAUAAUAUCUGUUUUGUUGAUAUCCAAAUCUACCACGACCUCUUCCUCGAUAUCCAUACCGACCGCCUCUUCCCGAAUCAUACAUAUCCUGUUGUGAGAGUCUGCAUACAUAAGUUUAUCUUGGUUUUGCUCGUCAUGCUUCUCUUCUUCCUCAUCAUGAAUCCUCUCAUCAUAAAAUAAUAGAAAAUGAUAAAAUAACAAAAAUAAUAAAAAAUAUUUAAAAUUAUUUAUUUAUUUAUUUUAUUUAUUUAUUUUUUAUUCAUCUUGAAUUUUAGUGACCAAUAAAAUAAAUUAUCAAAUUUUAUACAAAGAUGGUUAAUAUUAAAAGAGUAAAUAGUGCAUAAUUAGAAAGUACUUCGCUAAAUUGCAAUAAUCUAUAAGAAAAAGGAUUUAAAAUGUAAAAAAAAAAUAUGAAAGACACAUGUCAUCAAACCCCCUUGCCACUUGUCAUUUUGAACAAGCUAACUUUAUAUAUAAAGAUUCUAUACAGAACAAAUAUAAUCUAAAUUACAUAGUGAUUGAAGAUUAUUUUGAAUUAAUGAUGGCUCGGUUAUUUCUAGCCGCCAAGAAACAACAGCGCCGACGAGUCAAAACAGCCGUGAAACACUGUCACAACGGAAGGAUUUCGCCGGAGGGAGAGGAUGACGUCAAGAUGAUGUCGGCGGGAUCUAAGCUGAUGAGUUUAGAAGACAUUGAUGAGUUUUCGGCGGCGGAGUUUAUGCAUAGAAUCUCGAAUUCGAAGUCUAAGAAACCGAAGCUGGAAACCAUAGCUGAAGAAGAAUCUGUCUUAAACGGACUUGAAAUCAAACAAUUAUUAGAACUUGAUUUUUUCAACGCUUUUUUAAUAUUAGUUAUUGUUCUCGUUUGUAGUGUUAUUGAGAAUGAACAUGUAA
rnacentral:lncRNA from 1 species